UACGGAGGGGGUUAGCGUUGUUCGGAAUUACUGGGCGUAAAGCGCACGUAGGCGGAUUGGAAAGUUGGGGGUGAAAUCCCCGGGGCUCAACCCCCGGAACUGCCUCCAAAAACUUCCAGUCUGGAGUUCGUAGAGAGGUGAGUGGAAUUCCGAGUGUAGAGGUGAAAUUCGUAGAUAUUCGGAGGAAACACCAGUGGCGAAGGCGGCUCACUGGCUCGAUACUGACGCUGAGGUGCCGAAAAGUGUGGGGGAGCAAAACAGGGAUUAGAUACCCCCCCGUAGU
rnacentral:rRNA from 1 species